rnacentral:lncRNA from 1 species
ACAAAUCUCAAUAUACAAACUUAACUUCUUCAUUGUUAUACUAUUUCCAGAAAAUCAUUGUCAAUGGUGAUGAUGAAUACGAAAACAUCAAUUAUUUUCUUUAUGGUGAUUCUCUUAGUGAGCACGUCAUCAUUAUAUGUGAAGGCAAUACAACUCCCAACGACUAUGAUGAAUCACUAUAUGUGUCUACACAAUCCUAAUGAUCCAAGUUGUAAUAUCACAGUCGUGAUUCCNNNNNNNNNNNUAAUCGUUAUGCUCGUGGUUGUGAACCUAUUCUUCGUUGUCGAGGUGGGCCGCCAACCAUGAUUGGAAUCUAAUGAGUGAAAGCAAACUUCUUUCGAUGUACAUUUUACUAUUGACAUCGAAUAGUUAUUUAUCAUAUGUGUUCUAUAGUAUUUUGCUUUUGACUUACCAUGCCAUAAUAAUAUAAAACGGUGAAAUUUUUGGUACUACUGUAAUACCAAUAUGCUUAGUAAUUUUAACCGAU